UCAAGAUCUCUUCGGUGCAGCCCCCCCUCUCUCAAUGAUUCUCUCUCUCAUGGUCCAUCCUGUAGGUUGCCGUCAUCACCAUCAUUGUGCCACCGUCGCCAUCACUGCAUAGUCACCAUCGUCCGCAUCCAUCUCGAUACCCCUCUCUCUCUCCCUCUCUCUAUGGGAUUUAUAUAUGGGGCGAGUCAGAAGAUUAGGGUAU
rnacentral:lncRNA from 1 species